CCCGGCGACCGGCGCACGGGUGAGUAACACGUAUGCAACCUGGCCGCCACAGGGGGAUAACCCGCGGAAACGCGGCCUAAUACCCCGUGACGCCACCGGAGGGCAUCCUCCGGGUGGCCAAAGGAGCGAUCCGGUGGCGGAUGGGCAUGCGGCGCAUUAGCUAGACGGCGGGGUGACGGCCCACCGUGGCGACGAUGCGUAGGGGUUCUGAGAGGAAGGCCCCCCACACUGGGACUGAGACACGGCCCAGACUCCUACGGGAGGCAGCAG
rnacentral:rRNA from 1 species